GACGAACGCUGGCGGCGUGCUUAACACAUGCAAGUCGAACGGAAAGGCCCUGCUUUUGUGGGGUGCUCGAGUGGCGAACGGGUGAGUAACACGUGAGUAACCUGCCCUUGACUUUGGGAUAACUUCAGGAAACUGGGGCUAAUACCGGAUAGGAGCUCCUGCUGCAUGGUGGGGGUUGGAAAGUUUCGGCGGUUGGGGAUGGACUCGCGGCUUAUCAGCUUGUUGGUGGGGUAGUGGCUUACCAAGGCUUUGACGGGUAGCCGGCCUGAGAGGGUGACCGGCCACAUUGGGACUGAGAUACGGCCCAGACUCCUACGGGAGGCAGCAGUGGGGAAGAUUGCACAAUGGGCGGAAGCCUGAUGCAGCAACGCCGCGUGCGGGAUGACGGCCUGCGGGUUGGAAACCGCUUUCGCCUGUGACGAAGCGUGAGUGACGGUAAUGGGUAAAGAAGCACCGGCUAACUACGUG
rnacentral:rRNA from 1 species